CGGCACUCUGGAGACGUCCAUCCGUGCGGAUGGAGGCCGAAGGGGCAAAGCGCGUUUUCGCGCGAAUCUCUCAGGCAAAAGGACAGAGCGG
rnacentral:ncRNA from 1 species